rnacentral:rRNA from 1 species
UACGUAGGGUGCAAGCGUUGUCCGGAAUUAUUGGGCGUAAAGAGCUCGUAGGCGGUUUGUCGCGUCUGGUGUGAAAACUCAAGGCUCAACCUUGAGCUUGCAUCGGGUACGGGCAGACUAGAGUGUGGUAGGGGGUGACUGGAAUUCCUGGUGUAGCGGUGGAAUGCGCAGAUAUCAGGAGGAACACCGAUGGCGAAGGCAGGUCACUGGGCCACUACUGACGCUGAGGAGCGAAAGCAUGGGGGAGCGAAACAGG